CUUUGGGGUAACCCCCGGUGGGGAGAGUCGGGCCUCAGGGCCUGUGGACCGCUAGGGGUCGGGGGGGAAUGAGAAGAUGGGGCACUCUGACAAGCCGUGUGGGUCCCAGAUGCCAUGGGGAGAGGCCACCGUGCAGGGUCCAGGGUGAUAAGCCCCUGCCUGAGGUGUCCGUAGAGAGGCUCCCGUGCCGCGGUGAGACACUGACAAGCACCGCCAAGAGGCUCCAGGAGAUGUUAGACACAGACAAGCCCCAGGAGAUACCAGAUGAGGAGCUGCCUACUGUGGCCCUACCAGUCGUGCCCAGCAGGGUGCCGUCCCCAGAGACUGGGAAGGAUCCCUCUGAGAUCAAGCUGCCUCCCUGGCUUGGAAAGUGGGGGACUAGCCCCGAUAAGGAUUCGCCCACCACAGUGCCGGCGCUGCCCCCCACCCCACCCGUGCCAGCAGAGAAGCCCAGCCAGUCGGUGCCCCAGCGGAGCCACGUGAGCCGUGACUGGCAGAAGGAGAUAAUCGUGGACCCUCUGGACUCUCGGCCAGGGAAGGAUUUGGGCAGUGAGGACUUCCAGCAUGGCUACCAGGGACUGCCGAUCCACCAGUUUCUCUCCUCACUCACUGACAGCUCCCCCGCAAAGGACUGUCCAUCUCUGAGGACCCUGCUACUGGGGCAAGGGCGGAGGAAGGCCACACUGGCAUCCAUGCUCUACGAGAAAUACAGCAAGGAGACGGAGGAGGAGAUCCAUCCCCGCCCGAGGCGCAUGGAAUCUAUCUCCACCACGCACCAGGACUACCGUGCCACGGGUUUCCAGUCCACACCCCAGCCCAUCACACAGCCUCACAACUACUUAACGGAGCAGCCAACAAGCUUCUGGAUGGAGCAAGCCCGCGGGCUGCCGGUAAGGCCCCCACCACCUUG
rnacentral:lncRNA from 1 species